CCCUUAGACGUUCUGGGCAGCACGCGCGCUACAAUGGUCUUCGCAAACGGAUGCAUUCUCGAAGGAGAAUGCCAAUCUUGGAAUCUAUGCCUUGGUCGGGACAGUUGCUUGCAAUUUUUCGACUCGAACCAGGAAUUCCUUGUAAUCGUGAUUCAUCACAUCACGAUGAAUACGUCCCUGCCCUUUGUACACACCGCCCGUCGCUCCUACCGAUCGAAGAGUUAGGUGAAUUGUUUUGAUCGAUAAGAUUUGACUAUGGUCAACUCUCGUUGUGAAAUUCUGUGAAUCUAACUGUUUAGAGGAAGGAAAAGUCGUAACA
rnacentral:rRNA from 1 species